UUCAGACAAAACGGACUAAACAAAAGCAGAGCGCAGACAAACUGUGAUUAGUGACAACAGUUUUCCCCAACGUGACAAAGCGGUGAACCUCGACCCCGAGUCACCUGUGAUCCCGUGCUGAGCCGACCCUGAGACAUUUCACAGGGCAGAGGACACUUCGGCCUGAAGGGGCAGCAGCUUGAAGGGUACGCGAAUACCUGCGCUAAAGAGGCCUCGUCUCAUUCUCAGAGGGAACCUGUGAGCGUGCUGACACACCUGGACGUGUCACUCCUGCCUGCUGCCAGCAGAGGUCGCUGCAGGCCUGAGGAACCGAUCGUACACGAGCAGUGUGUCGCAGGAAAAGCAGCUUGAUGACACAUUCGUGUAGAACAAGUUUUAGACAACACACCGGGUUUGUACACCUCACCUGGCGUCUACCUGAGGAGAGCACAGUUGACUGGACGGGUCUGAAACGGUACACACCUGUCUUUUUUCAAAACAACAACAACUGCAAACAGGUGGAAGGCCUGCUGAGCUCAGAGGCAGGAUGGUGCAGAGGAACACAUCUGUUGAAGGCUCAUCAAGGCUGUGACUGUUGAGUUAAGGGUGGUGGAGCAUCUGUCCAAUCAGGAGGGUCGACCCCUGGCCCCCCCGCAGUCUACCUGCCGACGUGUCCUGGACAACAUACUGAGGCUCUUCCAGGGUCGCUCCUGAUGAGCAGGUGUUGUUGGAGUGAACAGGUGAUCAAAAGAAGAAAUGUGGGGCAGUUUAGAAACCAAAGAGAAGACAGAAACCACACACAGAACCUUUUAUUUCUACAGGGGGACCAGGUCCUACAGUAGUCCAGAAGGGACAAACCAAACACUGGCUCUAGAACGGGACUUUUUAUUGGCCACCGAAGGACGGGGUGAGUCACGAGGUGUUCAGUUCAGUAUUCCUGCCACUGCGUGUUGCUAAAUCCUACGCACAUUAACAGAAAUGGGUACCAUGUAAUAAUAAUAACAACAAUAAUAAUUAUAUCAUAAACUGUCAGUGACAUUUAAAUUGUGGAGAAAAAGGGUAAAGUAAGUGAC